CUUUAGUGGCCUCUUGAAGGCCUUUAGUGGCAUCUGCCAUUCCAGCUCCUAAGCAUCCACUGUGUUCUACUCACUUCAUAUGCUGCUCCUCAUGCGCUUCUGCCUCUUCUGUUUCUAUGGCCACUUUUGCUCAAGUGCUAAUAUUUAAGACAAAGCCUCAUUUAAUCUAUGAUUUAAAAUGUCUGUUGCAAUAACUGGAUAAAACAAGGUAACACUUAUCUAUCACUGUAUACUACAGGUAUGCUCUAUUUUGGACAAAAUGGAUGUUUGUAGGCUAUCCCAGAAUAUUAUUUUCAUGAAAGAUACAUUCCAAAUUUCAGAAAUUGAAUCUGGUCAUGACCCAGAGAGUCCUACUUCUUUCUAAGUUAAUGACUAUUUACACUGGCCGCUCGAUACACAACGCAUGGUGAGUAAACUGGUAGUCCUAGAGAGAAGAGAAAACAUGCUCAUUGGUAAACAACAGCAUGCCUGAAGGUCCUGGUGAGUACCAAGUGCAUGCUGCAUGCUUUUACAUUGAGCUGAAGAUGAUAAAAUGAUGUGGAUGCAUUUUUUUUUUGGGAUGCAUUUAAAGCAUUCAGUGAUUUUAUGAUGGUUCAAUGUAUAGUUUUCAGGCUAUAGAGCUUUUUUUUUUUUUUCCUCCCUACACUGGGCUAAAAUUUGACUGUUGGGAUAAGACAAACAUUUUUACUUUGGGUUAGUUUAUAAAACAAUUGGCUUUUACAAAUAUGUACACCAAAAUAUUGGUGUAGAGAAAUGAGUGGUUUUGCUUUUACCUGCAAAACCUUAUGCUAGAGCAGCUUAAGCCCAGGCCCGCGGGUGGGGCCCAAAGCAGGCUGGGUAGGCCUGAAGGCUCGGUCCCACUCUAGAGCGCUUCAAGGUCUUCUGGGAACCUACAAAUAUUCAGCCCACUCUUAGGUAGGCCUAGGGGUAACCUGCCUUUCCCGAGGGCUGACCUUCUAAGUUCUAAAUUGCCAUUGCUCCUAGUGAAACACACUACGGAAGCUUCCUUACUAAACAAAGAACAGAGCCCUGCUUAUCUAAGUGCCCAGGUUUUGGGUGACUGACAGGGCAGAAGGCCAAUAGGAGCUCUCUGAAGCAUCUGCCUCCCUAAUCCCCCACCUCACUGUUUCCCUAUCAUCUUUCUUUAUUCCUAAAGUUAGAAAGGCUGGCUUUGUGGGGAUUUGCCUUUCUUCCCGGGGGACAGACUGACACCUUCUUAACUGCCUCCUGCUGAGAAACAGCAUAGGUGUUAUACUUUGAGUUUGGAAGGACUGUGUGCACAGUCCCUCUUUGCACUAGGACUUGACUGUUUCAAAUGUUCCCUGAAUUAAAGAGAUACUGUCUGGUCUUGCCGUGCAAGUUGACUUACUUCACUAACUGCUAUGGAAAAGAACUGACUUAAAAGAUACACUUUAUGGUGGUUGUGGCCCACUUGUUAAGCUGGGAGAGGUUGGGUCCAGCCUGGAAACUCAGUCAAAUCUAAUUUUGGUCAUAACGUUGCUGACUGUGGCCUCACAGCAGUCCUUACCCCAGGUCCUGAAAGAGCCUUUCCUGAGCAUGCUGCUGUCCCUGCAGAAAUGUGAGGAUGUGAUCUAUUCUCUCAUGUCCCAGUGCAUCACAGCUAAGGUUAAGGUGAUAUCACCCACUUCCCGUUCACAGAAAACCCAUUCUCUUUCUCUCAUUCCCAGAGGCCUUUCCACCAGGUUGGUCUUUCUCUCCAAGCUAUUUUCUGAGUACCAUGACUACUUCAGUAGCCAUCCUGAUAACCUGUCAAAACCUACAUUUCCUACCUCAUGACCUUGCUCUCACCCUUAUCAUUCCUUCCUUGGGCUGUCAGCCCUGGACCUGUUUCUUAAGACAAGCUCAAGCACCCUGUUUCCCUGGCCUCAUUCCCUACCCUUCUGGUGCAUUUGACUAUAACUAUUAUCAUAACUCUCUCUAGAGUUGAGCAGAGGACACUCAUUGGGAUCUAUUGAGUUUCCUUUCUCUUAGGUGAACCUUCAGUAGCUUCCAUUUGGGAUUAUAAUUACUAUAUCACCAGCAUCUUCAACUUCCUCAUCCAUUUGUCAUUCUCUCUGAGCAACUUGGCAGCAAUUCAACCUGGACAAACUCAACUGUUUUCUCUAUGCCUUCACUUACACCAUCAAUUUAUGCUCGGACCCAAAUGUUCAAAGCUCUACCCGCUUCCUUCCCUCUCCUAGGAUUACAGCACUUGUGUAUUCCCGCACACCCACCUUUCUCCUAUAUUUCUCUGGUUAGUUUGCUAUCAUGCUCUGCUCCAGUUACCAGGACCAACACACUCUCUCUUCCCCUCUCCCUCUCUCUGCCUUCCUCUCUCCCUCCCUCACAUAUCGCUUUUCUUAUUUCUCUCUGUUUCUUUCUUAACAUUCCUUUUUGCAUGUGUAUAUGUGUGGGAGCAUAUUCGUGUUUGUGGAUACGUGGGCGUGCAUGUAGAAGUCAAAGGUUGACAUGAUUUUUUUUUAUUCCUAAAAAGGUUUAUUAUGUAUGUGUUUCUGCCUGCAUGAAUUUAUGUGCAUCAUGUGUGUGCAGGUGUCUGAGAAGGCCACAGGCCACUGAAGCCUCUGGAGCUAGAGCUGCAGAUGGCUGUGAGCUGCAUGAGGUGGAUACUGGGAGCUGAACCCAGGUCCUCUGCAAGAGCAGCAAGUGCUCUGAAUUGUUGAGUCAUCUCUCUAGCCCCCAAAUCUUUCCUUGCUUUAACUUAAUUUUUAAAAGUCUAUUAUGUGUAUGUGUGUUUUGCUAUGUGUUUGUCUGUGUACUGCAUAUUUGCCUGGUGUUCAGACAGGCCAGAAGAGGGCACUGGAUUCCGAGACAAAAGUUAUGGUAGUUAUGGACAACUGCCAUGUAGGUGUAGGGACUAGAACCCAGAUCUUCUGGGAAAGCAGAGCUACCAUGGAGCCAUUUCUGUGGCUUCCCUGAGUGCCUUGCCUGAUUACCCUUCACGUAGUCUAGCUAGCGUGUUUGCCACUGGGAUCCUCUAUCUUUACCUCUUGAGCUCUGUUUACAGGUAGACCACCUGACAUUUACAGACCGAUGGGGAUCCAACAGCAGUCCUCACAGCUGUAUGACAAAUGCUUUAUCCACUGAGCCACCUCUCCAACCACAGUUAUCAUGUUCUGCAUUGUAAAGCCACCUUGUUCUCAACAGAUGAUGUCAUCAUCUACUUCUGAGACAGAAGCUGUCUGACAGGAACUCCCUCAACUUUCCUCUGCUAUCCUGUGCACCUGCUGACACCCACGUCUCUCCCACCAUAUCAUCUUUUAGUGACAGGGUCCAUCUCUCCACUCAGCAAUAAACACCAACUCAACAGAAACUACUCACAAGUUAUAUUCUUGGGUCUUCUGGCCUAUUGAGCAAGCUCCUUGUUGGAUGGACUCAUCAUACCGCAUUCCUUUCUUGGUAACAGCCAUUGUCUUCUAUCUUCUUCCCUGAAGACCAUGGCUUAGCUCGAAAGUACACAGUCUACUUUGUUCCUCAUUGUACUCCAGUGCCUGGUACAGCCCACAGUAUGCCAAAGAAAUGAAGCAAACUAGACAGUUCACUCUGGGACAGUUUUGGGACUAACCUUUGGCACUGAUGCUAGAUUGCUUUAGAGCACUGCUGUUUUGCCCACUUCCCUUUGUGCGUUGAUAUCCAAGUUCAUCUGGCCCCAAAGUCCCCAUGUUCCACCAUUCCCUUCUUUUUGGUACAAACUGUAGUCUUCAGCCCAACCUCGCCCCACAAGUGCUCUAAGUGCUUUGAUGACAAGGAGAUCCUGAUUUUGCUUAUGUGCUGUAUCUAUAGCUGCUUUCAGCUAUAACUGAGAACGGAGAUGCAGCGUAGGAACCAGAGGGCCACAAAGCCUCAAAUAUUUCCUGUCUGGGCCUUUAAGUGUUGCCCUUGGUACAAGCAUAGUAGGCACUUACUGGGCACUAUGGGGGAAGUCAAGCAGGUGUGUCAUGGUGACAAAGGGGUGGUUCAGAGUUUCAAUGGGAGUGACUCUCUUAUCAGCAUCGAUGGUCAGCAUCUUCUUUAACAGGUCAAUGAACUCCCGUCGGUCUGCCUUCUCUACUAACAUGUCACUCCCUUCCAAAUCUGUUGUCAUGUUCACCUGGAAGUAAGCGGGGACAGGUGAGUAAGAGCCAUAGGAUAUCGUCUGAUCUCAAGCUCCCCAUCUCAGGUGCCAGAGGGUAGACUGCCCGCCAUGGUCCUGUGUGCUGCUACUGUCCACGGGUGAUGGCCUCUUAUACGCUAGGAACAGAAUGGCUGCGGGAGUCAGGUACCAGGUAGGGGUUGGGGCAGAAAGAGGCCACCAUGGUUGACACCUGCACAUACAUCCCAGUGUCAAGGCACAAAGCUGCUCCUGUUUUAACUGGCCACGGUGAAGUGCAGCUUU
rnacentral:lncRNA from 1 species